GUAGCUAACGCGAGAAGUUGACCGCCUGGGGAGUACGGCCGCAAGGUUAAAACUCAAAGGAAUUGACGGGGACCCGCACAAGCGGUGGAUGAUGUGGAUUAAUUCGAUGCAACGCGAAAAACCUUACCUGGUCUUGACAUGUACAGAACUUUCCAGAGAUGGAUUGGUGCCCGAAAGGGAGCUGUAACACAGGUGCUGCAUGGCUGUCGUCAGCUCGUGUCGUGAGAUGUUGGGUUAAGUCCCGCAACGAGCGCAACCCUUGCCAUUAGUUGCUACCAUUCAGUUGAGCACUCUAAUGGGACUGCCGGUGACAAACCGGAGGAAGGUGGGGAUGACGUCAAGUCCUCAUGGCCCUUAUGACCAGGGCUUCACACGUCAUACAAUGGUCGGUACAGAGGGUAGCCAAGCCGCGAGGUGGAGCCAAUCUCAUAAAACCGAUCGUAGUCCGGAUCGCACUCUGCAACUCGAGUGCGUGAAGUCGGAAUCGCUAGUAAUCGCAG
rnacentral:rRNA from 1 species